rnacentral:lncRNA from 1 species
GAAACAUGAGUAGAGUCUGAUAAAGUAUAAUACACCCUACUGACAGAACAUAUAGUAAAGAAAACAACAACACUUAGUACAAUAAUUAUACCCCCAAAGAGAACCAUAUGAAAUCACCCUAUCAAGACAAAAUUCUUUAACCCCACAAACUCUCCUUACACUAAAUAAUGUUAACCUAUAUAAACCAAUACAAGAUGGACAUUGAGCAAAAACAUAUAUAGGCUAUACAAUUAUCAAUGUUUAAUUUGAAAUUAGAAGUUUGAGGAUAGGUUGUGUUUCAAUCUUAGGAGCAACCCCAAACGUGUUUCAAUCUUAGGAGCAACCCCAAACAUCUUUGUAGAUUUGAUUUUCAUUUGUGUUACUAUGCUUGGAUGGUUCCCCUUCAAGCCAUCAUGUGCCUUUACAUCUUCAACCUGCACCGGGAUCUUGAUUCAACAAAGAAGCAAUGUGUUCAAUUCUACAUCUGGUUGGAAUAUGGACUCUCUCAUCCAUUGGUGAUCCAUGUAUGGCCAUCCCUUACAAGUCAAAGAAGAAGCUGUAGCAACCUACAAAACACAACACAAAAACCAACAAGGGACACCCAUAGUACAUGUCAAAAAUAGACCCCACACAUGAUUAUAUAACUCUUUUUUAUUCAUAACUGAAGCUUGUAAUACACAUAAUAGGAUCAAAGUAGCAGUCAAAAUAAGAAAAAAAUGUUAUAGAAUAAAAGUUUCUUACCCAAGCCCACACAAAUCUUUGUGUUGUGCAGAAAAUUUAUUGAGCAUAAGGCCAAGACAUGUCAAAUUAAAUACAAUUUUGUUUCUUUGUUUCCAUAAAAACCAUAUAAAAACCACUAAAAAAGAAAAUUUUUUCUUCUCUAGGAUAUAUAAAGAUUAAUUUAGCAUCACAGAAGAGUGUUUUCAUCUAGAUUUCUUAUUGAUAGGAGAAAAAUUAAAAGCCAAAAAUGCUUUUUCAAACACAAAUAUGAAAACAAGAUAUACACUGAAAUAAAAGGAGAAUAAUGUGAUACCAUUUGGAGCUCCCUUCACUCCAACGCCAAAAGAUCAAGGUAACUCAUCUCCUAGUUCAUGCAAACCCUUGACUUCGAACACAUGUUGUUACGAAACCAUAGGUAUCCAUGAACGAGCAGCAGAGGCAUACCGUCAUAUCUUUUCUUAAUUGGAGUGAAGGAAACUCCAAAUUGGGUUUGAUACCCUAUUUCUAACCUAAAUAAGACAUUGCUUUGAUGCAUAAGAAAGAGAGAAGGGUUGUAAUCCAUGGCUGAGAAUCUCACCUUUAUAUAGGCUGGGAAAUGGUUGAUGAGCUGGAAAAUUAAAAUUGAUGGACUGAAUAUGAAAGAAAAUCUCAAUGGCAUGGGUGACACGUGUAUGGUAUUAAUUAAAAACAUAGAUAAUUAAAAAUAUUUUAAUGCUAUUAUUAAGUUUACAAACAUGGAUUAAUAUUGGUAUUAAUAUACAUGUAAUAAUCAGUGUGGGGCACCACACUAUUCAAUUAUUAUUCUCAAGAAAAGUGUUACUUUAAUAACUACAUAAUCAAAUAUAUUAAUAUUUUUUUAAAUCUUCUAUUUUAAGCAUCAUUAUUCAACUUCACAUCUCAACUAUGCAAUCAAAUAUACUAAUUUAUAAUCUUUCAAAAUUUCUUUUUUUCUAAACUCAUAUUUCAGUAAAAAAAAUAAAAUCUUUCAACUCUUUUAGCAAUUAUAUAAUCUAGAGUAUUUCACGUACUCAAUAUCAUAACUUCAUUCUAAAUAGCAUUUUGGUUGAUAUUUUUAGACUUUACCACAUUAUAUUUUUACCUCCUUCAACUCUUAUGUUGAAUUUACUAUUGUUCUUACAAAUUUUCUUAAUGAAUAAAAUUUUAUCCUUGACAUCAACGCAAAUUGUUAUUGUAGAUUAGUUAUUUCAUUGAUAAUAUUUCGACUUCAUAUCAAAUGCGUUGUUUAAAGUAUUACAUUAAAAAUAUUUCUUUUUCUGUCACAUUAGGUUACUCGUUUGAACUUUAAAAAAAAUUUAUAUUUAAUUAAUUCAAACAUAAUUGACAACCAUAUACAAAUCUUAUUACUACAUUAAAGACAUUUAUGGAAUUUUCAAAAAUAUUAAAUACUCAUUCACUAAUUUAAAAAAUAUUAAAUGCACAUCUCUUUUAUAAUAAAAAAAAACUGUCAUUAAAUAAAUAAGAUGAUUUCAUAACUUCUUUAAAAGAAUUAGCAUCAAUAAUCUAAAUAUUAAAUGUUUCAGAUAAUGUUUUAAAUACUAAGCUUUGAGAAUUUAAUUCAAUAAAGAGAUGUGUCACUAUAAGAAAAAAAAAUAUUUUAAUAGAGGUUAUUUAGUGGAGGUUUAUAUAAUUAUUCUAGAAAAUUAUUUAAUUAACGAACUUUUUUGAAACUUCGUUAAGUUUCAAAAAUUAUUCAAAAAUCUCAGCAAAAUAAUAGAGGUUUUGUAAAUUUCGUUAAAUUUCAAAAGUUUAUUUUAAAACCUCAGCAAAGUAAUGAAGGUUUUUUUUAACCUUCGUUAAAUUCCAAAAGUUAUUCUAAAACAUCUGCAAAAUAACAGAGGUUUUUUUAACAUUCGUUAAAUUUAAAAGAUUUUUUCAUAGAACCUCAAUAACUCCAAAUUUUUCAAACUUAAUAAAUAAAUAUAAUUAAAUCUAUUUAUAAUAAAUAAUUAAAAACUAUGUAAUUUUAAUAUAUUUUAUAACUAAAUUCUCUAAAUUUUUAAAGUGUAACUUUACACUAUACAUAAGUUUCUAAAAUUUCAAAAAAUUAUUUUAAAAACUCAGCAAAAUAACUUUGGAUAAUAAGUAUAUUAAGAACCAAUAUUCGAUAAUAACUUUUUAUACAAUAUUUGUAUUUUUUUUAUGAUUGAUGGUAAUUGAUUUAUAUAAUUCCUAGUGUUUUUUGUUAUGAGUUCAUACUUCAAAAAACUUGACUUAUUUUGUUUUAGCUUUUGAUGUACGUAUAUUUUAUGUGCAAUUUUUGUUUUAGUUAUAAUUGUUAAUAUUCAAUUCUCAUAAUUUUGAAAUAUUAUAAAUCAAUGCUUUUAUUUAAAAAUGCAUAUAAUAAUUCACUGUGAAAGUGAAAAGUGAUAAAGUUAAUUUCUCCUCGCAAAUGUUCUUGCAAUCUUUAGCCAAUAACACACAUGGCUUUGAAGCCCACAUCUAUGUUUAAAAGAACCCUCGAGAACAUGUUCCCCAGAGAUAGUUUAGCAAGGGAAACUACAACUAUGAGUAAAUGACUUAAUAAAGAUUUUAUCCAUAUAUAAUAUAAAAAGAAACCCCAUAAAACAUUUUUUUAUUAUAGAGUAUUAGUAUGUUUAGAUAACUUCAAGACCUACAUAAUCUUGAAAAAGUUAAUGUUCAAAUCAAUCAUAUGUCGUCCACACUCGUAAUCAUCUCGACCUGAUAUUAAAAAUGUAUCAUGCGUGAGAUUAGAGAAAUAAAGAAAAAUAUAAGAAAAAGAUAAGAAAUGAGUAAAAAAUCUAUUUAAUCCGAAAGAGAGGAGUAAAUAGAAAAAAAAUAUAUUUUAUAUUCUAUUAAUAAUGUUAAUAUUUUUUAAUUACUUAUUAUUAUCAUAAAAAUUAAAAAUAUCCAUAAGAACAUAUAUUAUCUUGUGUCUAUAAUUGAUUAAUGUGUAAUUUAAGAUCUAGUUUUUUUAUAUUUAGUUGGGGUAAUUUUAAAAAGAAUAGAAUUAUGAUUAUUCAAUUAUAUAUAUAUAUAUGUAAUUUUUUAUCACUUCUUUAACUUGUUGUUUUUAUUUUUUUCUAUGUUUUAAAAUUAUUUUUCAUAUUUUUUCUGUUUUUAAUAACAAAUCAUAGUUUAGAAUAUAACAUAGAUUAUAACCGUAUGACCCACUUAGAAUGUGUUUUUUUAGUAAGUUAUUUUUUCUGGAUAAAAAUAAUUUCAUUCACAAUUAAUAGUUUUAAUAAUAGAUUAUUGGACUAUAAUUAUGAAUAAAUUUAUUGUUUUAAUUGAGAUUCAUUUAACUAAUUUUAUUUUGAUCUUUGUUAUUUCGGUUAAUCUUGUGUUUUAUUCGCGAUAGCCGGUCCAAUAUUUCUUAAGAGUAGACAUUUUGAUUAUACGAUAUGAUAGAAGCGUUCAACUAAAAGUUUGAAAGAAGUGUUAAACUAAAUAGUUUGAAUGAAACAUGUACUACUAGAAGUGAGCAAAAUCAUGCGAAAGUCCAAAUUGCUUCUUUAAAUCAAAAUGACAAAUGAAAUCUGAGUUAAAGAAUUAGAGAAUUAAAUCUCAUAUAUGUCAUAAAUAAAAUUAGAAGCGAAUUUUCUACAGGUAUAUUAUCUCAAAUAUUUUGAAACUAAAAAUCCCUUGUUAAAAAAACAAAAAACAGAAAAAAUCUCUUUCGAAGAUAUUGUUCAAGUAACUAUUCUUCGAAUAUCUCUCACAACAUCACUGAGUUUAAUUAUAAUGAAUCUGCAAAUCUGGACGGAGUUUUGAAGCAAAAUAUUUGCAAGAGAAGCGAGAACGAGAGCUGGAACUGAUUGAGAAACAAUAUAUUUUUUUAAUAAUUUGAAACAAUUAAAUGACACAUCUGAUAAUUAUAAAAAUAUCAUGAGGCUGAUUAUGAAUUUGAUUUUGUGCAAAGAAAAUAAGAUUAUAAAAGAGACGUCAGAGGAAGAAGAGGGAACUUUUUUGCAUUAUAGUAGCAGAACACACUCUAAACCUAGUUUUAUUUCAUUUUCAUAUAUUUUUUUGUUACAUUUUUGUCAAGGAAGGUUAAACUUUUUGGGUUGAUUUUUAAUUCUUCAUUGAGUUCUGAGGUUUUGAUCAAUAUAAGUUUUGUUUUUCAAUUCUCUGUAACAGUUUGUUUUAACCUCCUACAUUUUUUAAAUCUGGUUUUUGUAAGAGGUUGUUCUCGAACGCAUGUUGAGGGUUGAAUUCUUUUCUCUAAUUUUGAUUUCUUAGUUAGUUCACAUUGUUCUAAUUAAUCUCUUGAGUGCAUGAUUCAAGAGGUAAAAGAGAAACAUCCCAUAAUUAGACACAUGCAUACAAGUUGGGUAUUGAUUACAUCAGUAAGCACAUGGAUACAAGUGGGGUACAUACAAUUAGUGUAAAACAUGUUUGAUUUAGUUUAGUCAUGUGUGAUAAUUGAAGGUUAAUAAUAUUUAGAUAACUUGUGAAGAAUUUAUUGGUGAAAAGAACACGGGAAUCACCUGUUUUUCAUUCAUCUUACAAAAUCUAUUAUAUUUUUUUGUUAAACAAACAUAAAUCACCCUUUACUUUACUGUUAUUGCUAUUUUUUGUCGCUUUCACAUUUGUUUUGAAUUUUAUUCGAUGAACUCACUUUUAGAUUCACUAAGAGAGAUGAAUUAGGAUCAUCAAAUCACUUUUAUAUAUUUUUUUUAUGAUAGACGAGUCUAAUAUAUGGGUCUCCAUACUAGAAGUGGAUGUUAUUUUAAUAUGUUCAUAAAAUAACUAUUACUAAUAUGUAUGCGAUAUUUGAGUUGAAUAGAUUAAUUUAGAUAUGUAAAUAUAUGUUUUUGUUUGUGAAUAGUGUUUUUUAAAAGCAAAUUAGAAUUUCUCAAAGUUUUCUAACUUUUUGAUAUUUUGCUAAAGAAACAUAAAAAAGCACAAUAAUAAAGGUAAGAGGAAUAGAUUUCUGCUUUGGAAUAUUAGAAGAAAACAGAAAAAAAAAAACUAACAUAAAGACUCUAACAUAAUUUUGUUAAAAUAAAUAAAUUGUGCACGUUUCUUGUAGAGUUAAACUAUAAGUGUUUAAAGUGUUGGAUUUUAUAUACUUAAUUUUUUUACUAUAACAUAAAUUUAAUAUAAUGCAUUAUAAAUAAUAUAUUUAACUAUAUGAACUUUAUAUGAGAAAAAAAAUACAUAAAUGAUAAAAUAAAAACAUAUAUUUUAUUUUAUAAAAAUAUAAAACAAAAUAACAAUAAAAAUAGGAUACAAAUUUUUUAAAGCAAAAAAAUUUGCUACGAACAAUGAAUUUAUGGAUUUUAUUUGGCUUAAUUAAUAAUUCCAAAAUAUUAUGACGUAAAUACCAACUUAACAUUAGAUUACUUAAGAUCUAAAUAUCUCUCUUAAUCUUCGGACAAAACAUUGUAUACAUUUUUUAUUUAUUAUAUAUAUAUAUUUAUUAUAUAUAUAUAUAUAUUAUAUAUAUAUAUAUAUAUAUAUAUUAAUAAAAGGUACACAAAUAUCUACAUCCUUAUACACAAAUAUAUUAAAAAAAUCUCGUUAAUCCAAAUUACGAAUAACAAGUCAAAAUGCACUAAAUUAUAUACACAUGCACAUAAAAAAGAAUUACUAACUCAAUAUUAAACAACAAAAGAUAAACUUAAUUAAAACCAUCUUAUAUGUAAAUAACAAAAUGGGUUAAACUUGUUUAGUGCGUAAAAAUAAAUAAAUUUAAAGUUUUUAUCAUAUAAUCUAUUUAAUAUUUUAAUGUAUUUUUAUAUAUGUUUGUUUUCAUUAUUAGUUUAUUAUAUAAAUUUAAUUUUUCCAAUAUUAAUAAAAAAUUAAUAUUUAAACAAAAUUUAAAUUAAACUAUUAUUAUGUUUUAGGUUCUUUGAUUAAAUUUCAUCACUUAAAUUAUUUUUAUAAUAUAGAAAAAAAUAGCAAAUUUGCCUACUUGAUUGUCAAACUCACCCCUGAACAAGGGGAAUAAGAUGUAUAAAUCUACUUUUAAUUCAACUAAUUCACUAUCAUUUUCUUACAAGUCAAUGGUGGAUUGAACCCAAACAAGAUCUACCAUACAAAAUCUUACUAAUAAGAUAUUCAAUCAUGCAUGCAGUAAGAAAUUACAACCAUUAUUAAUAUCUAUUCUUCAUGUCACAUUAAGGGGAAAAUUUUAUGGGAUGUGCUAGUGUGCUUUGAGAAUAAACUGAAAUACUAAAAUGUGUAUCAGUCAGGUCACUUCAAUGCAAUAUGAUUUGUUGAGGAUUGUUGUAGAAGAGUGAUACAAGAGAGUGUUCAAUCUUGCACUGGAUAAGAUAUUCAUUGUAUUUCAUACAAUGUUGUUGCAAGUGUGUGAUACUUAACUUGCUGCAGUAGUUUGCUUAUUGGAUCGCAAUGAGAUUAAAGAGGAACCAAUGUAUGAACAAUACCUAGUAAUUGAGUUUUUAGAAUGAAGGCAUCUGACCUAGUUAGAGUUACACUAUGUUGUGAGUUUGUCAGUGUUUGAUGAUCAAUUGAAAAUGUUAACCCAGAGUGAUAUGCAUAUAUAAUGGGUAUAGUGACAAACAUUUUCUUUACACUUCCUUUUCUCUUUCAAGAUGUUUAAACAUUAAAAACCAUUCAUGACAAACUCAAUUUCCUAUAAUAAUAACAAGUAAUUUUUUUAUCAGCAAAUAAUGAAUUAAAUUAAAAAUGAGCAUUUGAGGGAUGCUCCAAUCUUAUACAAAAAAGAUACACAUAAUACAUAACUUACCAUCUUGCAGACAUAAUAAAAUCACCUAAUAAACUAUUUUUGAACAGAAAAAAUACUCCAACAAAGAUCUAAAAUAUCACCCCAUAGUACCCACUACAAAAAGCUUCAAACAUGAAAUUGAAGAUAACAUGUGACCUUGCCAACCAAACAUUACAUUAAUUUUCCUUUCUCCUUUACCCUCCAUCGUUUUUGUUUGUCUAACCCAUGUCCCAUAUAAUCUUUCCACUUCAUGUUCUUUGCACGUAACAAGCAAUUAGAGCAACAUAUCUUGUAACAUGGGUAAUUCCCCUUCUGUAGCCUUUCUUGUUGCUGACAUUUUCUCACCCAUAACAUUUAAUCCACAUAACAUGAACCUCAUCCACAAGAUAUUGAAUCUACAAUAUUUUUCUCCUUGUAUAGUUAAAGUAAUCAUGCAUAAAUUUAUUUUAUCGACAACGAAUAAAUAAAUAAGAGAGGGAGCACUUGAGGUUUUUCAACCCGUAUACAAAAGCACACGUUUCGGUUCAAGAAUACAGAUUGGCCCAAGAUAACCUAACCAACAAACACUAUUCUAGCUAGCCAAAAUUUAUGUAAGUUGGAAACAUCUUGAUGCACACCUUCUAUUCAUGAUUAGGCAAAGCAACUAAGUAUGGUAUUCUCACAAUAGAGACUGUAAUAAGAACCAACAUGACAUGUUGUAGAUAACGAAAGCUCAGAAAAAAUAAUUAAUAAAAGGAAGACAUAGGGGUGCAUGCUUAAUGAUGGUUUUACUUAUUAUUUAAUACUUUUGGUCAAUUAAAAAGUUCAUAGUAUAAUAUUAUUUUAAAAUUAAAUUUGUUUUUUUAUCAACAAAAAAUAAAAGAAUUAAUUUGAACAUUUAAAGGAUGUUUCAACACUAUUAAAAAAUAAUUGUGCUUAGAAACAUGAGUAGAGUCUGAUAAAGUAUAACACACCCUACUGACAGAACAUAUAGUAAAGAAAACAACAACACUUAGUACAAUAGAUAUACCCCCAAAGAGAGCCAUAUGAAAUCACCCUAUCAAGACAAAAUUCUUCAACCCCACAAACUCUCCAUACACUAAACAAUGUUAACCUAAAUAAACCAAUACAAGAUGGACAUUGAGAAAAAACAAAUAUAGGCUAUACAAUUAUCAAUGUUUAAUUUUAAAAUGGAAGUUUGAGGAGGUUGUGUUGCAAUCUUAGGAGCAACCCCAAACGUGUUUCAAUCUUAGGAGCAACCCCAAACAUCUUUGUAGAUUUGAUUUUCAUUUGUGUUUCUAUGCUUGGAUGGUUCCCCUUCAAGCCAUCAUGUACCUUUACAUCCUCAACCUGCAUCAGGAUCUUGAUUCAACAAAGAAGCAAUGUGUUCAAUUCUACAUCUGGUUGGAAUAUGGACUUUGUCAUCCAUUGUUGAUCCAUGUAUGGCCAUCCCUUACAAGUCAAAGAAGAAGUUGUAGCAACCUACAAAACACAACACAAAAACCAACAAGGGACACCUAGAGUACAUGUCAAAAAUAGACCCCAGACAUGAUUAUAUAACUCUUUGUUAUUCAUAACUCAAGCUUGUAAUACACAUAAUAGGAUCAAAGUAGCAGUCAAAAUAAGAAAAAACUGUUUUAGAAUAAAAGUUUCUUACCCAAGCCCACACAAAUCUUUGUGUUGUGCAGAAAAUUUAUUGAGCAUAAGGCAAGACAUGCAAAAUUAAAUACAAUUUCGUUUCUUUGUUAACAUAAAAACCAUAUCAAAACCACUAAAAAAGAAAAUUUGUUCUUCUCUAGGAUAUAUAAAGAUUAAUUUAGCAUCACACAAGAGUGUUUUCAUCUAGAUUUCUUAUUGAUAGGAGAAAAAUCAAAAGCCAAAAAUGACUUUUUCAAACACAAAUGUGAAAACAAGAUAUACACUGAAAUAAAAGGACAAUAAUGUGAUACCAUUUGGAGCUCCCUUCACUCCAACGCCAAAAGAUCAUGGUAACUCAUCUCCUAGUUCAUGCAAACCCUUGACUUCGAACACAUGUUGUUACGAAACCAUAGGUAUCCAUGAAUGAGCAGCAGAGGCAUACCAACAUAUCUUUUCUUAAUUGGAGUGAAGAAAACUCUAAAUUGGGUUUGAUACCCUAUUUUUAACGUAACCAAGACACUGCUUUGAUGAAUAAGAAAGAGAGAAGAGUUGUAAUGUAGUAUCCAUGGCUGAGAACCUCACCUUUAUAUAGGCUGGGAAAUGGUUGAUGAGCUGGAAAAUUAAAAUUGAUGGACUGAAUAUGAAAGAAAAUCUCAAUGGCAUGGGUAACACGUGUAUGGUAUUAAUUAAAAACAUAGAUAAUUAAAAAUCUUUUAAUGUUAUUAUUAAGUUUACAAAGGAUUAAUAUUGGUAUUAAUGUACAUGUAAUAAUCAGUGUGGGACACCACACUAUUCAAUUAUUAUUCUCAAGAAAAGUAUUACUUUAAUAACUACAUAGUCAAAUAUAUUAAUAUUUUUUAUAAACCUUCUAUUUUAGGCAUCAUUAUUCAACUUCACAUCUCAACUAUGCAAUCAAAUAUACUAAUUUAUAAUCUUUCAAAAUUUCUUUAUCUCUAAACUCAUAUUUCAGUAAAAAAAAUUCUUUCAACAAUUUUAGCAAUUAUAUAAUCUAAGAGUAUUUCAUGUACUCAAUAUCAUAACUUCAUUCUAAAUAGCAUUCUUUUGGCCCUUUACUUUUGAUUGAUUGAUUUUUUUAGACUUUAUCACAUUAUAUUUUCUACCUUCUUCAACUCUUACGUUGAAUUUACUAUUGUUCUUCAACUCUUACGUUGAAUUUACUAUUGUUCUUACAAUGUUUCUUAAUGAAUAAAAAUUUAACCCUGACAUCAACACAACUUGCUAUUGUAGAUUAGUUAUUUCAUUAAUAAUAUUUCAACUUCAAAUCAAAUGUGUUAUUUGAAUUAUUACAUUAAAAAUAUUUCUUUUUCCGCCACAUUAUAUUUAGUCACUUGAUUAGGUUACUCGUUUAAACUUCUAAAACAAAGGUUAUUUUUAAUUAAUUUAAACAUAAUUGGCAACCAUAUACAAAUCUUAUUACUACAUUAAAGACAUUUAUGGAAUUUUCAAAAAUAUUAAAUACUCAUUCAUUAAUUCAAAAAUAUUAAAUGCAUAUCUCUUUUAUAAGAAAAAAAACUGUCAUGAAAUAAAAAAGAUGAUUUUAUAACUUCUUUAAAGGAAUUAGGAUCAAUAAUCUAAAUAUUAAAUGUUUCAUUUAUAUUUUUAUGUGAAUCAGAUAAUGUUUUAAAUACUAAGCUUUGAUAAUUUAAUUCAAUAAAGAGACGUGUCAUUGUAAGAAUUUUUUUUUUAAUAAAGGUUAUUUAACGGCGAUUUAUGUAAUUACUCUAGGAAAUAAUUUAAUUAACGAAAGUUUUUUAAACUUCGUUUAAGUUUCAAAAUUUAUUAAAAAAUUUCAGCAAAAUAACAGAGGUUUUUUUAACUUUUGUUAAAUUUCAAAAGUUUAUUUUAAAAUCUCAGCAAAUAAUGAAGGUUUUUUUAACCUUCAUUAAAUUUCAAAAGUUUAUUCUAAAACAUCUGCAAAAUAACGAAGAUUUUUGUUAACAUUCGUUAAAUUCCAAAUAUUUUUUCAUAGAACCUCAAUAACUCCAAAUUUUUCAAACUUCAAUAAAUAAAUAUAAUUAAAUCUAUUUAUAAAUAAAUAAUCUAAAAUUGUAUAGUUUUAAUAUAUUUUAUAACUAAAUUCUCUAAAUUUUUAAAGUGUAACUUUACACUAUAAAUAAGUUUUCUAAAAUUUAUUUUAAAAACUCAGCAAAAUAACUUUGGAUAAUAAGUUUAUCAAUAACUAAUAUUGGAUAAUAAAUUUUUAUACAGUAUUUGCAUAUUUUUUUAUGAUUGAUGGUAGUUGAUUUAUAUGAUUCCUAGUUUUUUUUGUUAUGUGUUCGCACUUCAAAAAACUUGACUUAUUUUGUUUUAGCUUUUGAUGUACAUAUAUUUUAUGUGCAAUUUUUGUUUAGUUAUAAUUGUUAAUAUUCAAUUCUCAUAAUUUUGAAAUAUUUUAAAUCAAUGCCUUUAUUUUAAAAUGUAUCUAAUAAUUCACUGUGAAAGUGAAAAGUGAUAAAGUUAAUUUCUCCUCGCAAAUGUUCUUGCAAUAUUUAGCCAAGAACAGACAUGACUUUGAAGCCCACAUCUAAUAGAUAAUGCAAUUAUUUAGGAUAUAUAUAGCAAUGAUAAACACUAGUUGUUGUCGAGUUAGGUAAAAGUGGUUUGUGACCCAAGUUGGGGCAAUAAGGUGAUGAAAGAAGCAAUAUUGGAGUAAGAAGUAGUGCCUUAUUUAGUGUUUCUUUUCCUUAGAUAUAAUAGGCAUAAGUAUGGCUGAAUUUUGAUUUCUUGUUAGAACUGUCGUCGACAACCAUUGAGCCUGUGCAGGAGAGUAGUCUGUCUAGGUGGAAGAGAGAAGUUAUGAUGGAGAUCAAAUAGGGGAGACUUUUAUUAAUGAAGGAAGAGGUCAUUCACCCACACAUUUGAAGUUCUUCCUUCUAGUCUUCUCAAAAUUAAAAGAAGACAUAAAAUAAAGAGAGGAUCACGCCUAAAGCCAAAGAAGUCUACAAGCUUUCAAGAAUGGGCUUCAAUUAAAUAUCUCUCUUUAUAGUUUCUUUUGUUUAAAAUUGUAAAUAAUACACUACAACAAUUAUUACUUUAGGCAACAACAUAAAACUGUGGUCUAAAGCAUUAAAACCGUAGCCUAAAGUUUAGGCAACGGUUUUUUAGGCAUGGUCGAGGUGAGCGUGGCCGUUUUUAAUAGGCCACGGUUUUUAUAAAGACAAUAAUUUCAAAAGCGUUGCCUAAAAUCUUUAUAACAACCAUAGUUUUAAAAGUGUGGCUUAAAGUAUUGACAAAAACAAUAAUAAUUUUUAAAUUUUAAAGGAAUUACUCACAUCAACAAUUGAUUUACAUCAUUAAUCUCAAAUAACAUUCCUCGUUUGAAUAAGACUAUUAAAUAGUUGUUCUCAAAAGGGUUAAUUUAUCAAGUAUAGCAUUUUAAUAUAUAAUAUAAAUAAAAUGGGAAAGUGUGAAAGAGAAGGGACAAAAAGCAAUGAUCGAUAAGAAAACUUCCAUUGAGGAUUUUUCCAUAUUUUUGACCUACCCUCAUUUUCUGUAUAGUUGGGGCAUCAACAUAAGUUUGGAAAAAAGAAAAGUAAAAGGAUGAUGUAUGAUCCUACAAUUCCUAUGCCCAUAUAUUUUGACUAUUAUGUAUCUAAAACACACAAAAAAACAACAAAAUGAUAAAAAAAAUUCCAAAACUAAGUGUUCAUCAAUCUCCCACUCGGCUCACAAGACGAGUCACAUGGCAACUUCUGAUUCAGGUACGUAACUUAGUCUUUCUUCCCACACCAACUUGAAUACAACUUCAUCUCGUUCAAGUGCAUGUUCCUGCUUCAUAAAAUAUUCAAUGAUUAUUGUCUCCACAACAUGGCCCACUUGAUUUAACAACUUGAUUAAGCCAUUAACAUGGCCCAUGGCCCAGGACAAUAGAAUAAUUCAACAUAAGAUAUUUGCACUUACUUUAAAAACACGAAUUACAAUAGGGUUUACACCAACAAUCAUCUCUCUUGCAAAUUCUUCAUUGGUCAUCCAUGCAAACUUGCUUUCCAUACAAAAUUAUAAGAAAGAAAAUAAGAUUAACAAACAGUGUAAUGUGUGAAAGUAGUUACGUUGGAGUGGAAAGAGACUAAGUUACCUUGGAUUACACGAGGUGGUGGGAACUUAAGGACACUUGGAGUACCGUUGGCAGUGAUAGAUAUAGGCAGAUUAACGCCACCUUCAUACAAUCUCUGCACUUCUUCAAAGUCAUUACAUUCAUUUGGUGUGGUCUUUAAAUGUAAAGAUAAGAGCAACGAGUUCAGCUAAAGUUUUUGUUCCCAAUUCAACGACUUCUUUAGCCUUCAUGUUACUGAAAUUUUCAUCUCUUGGCACGUGAUGAACUUCGUCUGGUUCCUCGUACUCAGCACCUGUGAAGACAUAAAUUAAGCAUAACUGGGCCUUUCUUUAGACCAUGUAAUUAAAAAAAUGAUAAAAUGUAACUCACCAUUCUUGUUAUUGUGGAGGAGUUUUCUCCCAGUCCUAACCCUACGAGGUAAGGAUAUUUUAUGCCUCCAAGAACUGGGUGAUCAUGUUGCCCAUCUCUGGUUAGAAAGCCCAGAUCAUUAUAGACAUCAUAGUCAUAAAUCCUAUCCCAUUUCUCACGCUUUCCAGUUCCAUCUCCCCUUAAAUUCUUCAACUCUUCUUCGCCAAAUGGCUAUCCUUUCCAACUUUCCCAGCCACCUUUAUUUCUACAAGAUGCAAACGAAUCAAAAUCCAAAAAUAAUUAAACAACUAUUUUUGAAGCAUUGAUGAUAUGAAAAGUUUUAUAGUGAUAAGAGAAAAGACUAAUGAUUUUGUGACUUGGUACGACUAGUGAACUUGAAAGACACAUAUUUAGUGAUAUCUUCGACUGAAGAGUUAAUUAGCUUGAGGCCAAUGCCAAUGAGACCCUUGACGUUGGUUAGGUUUUCAACCACACUCUUUCGAAUCAACACCACCCUCCCCUCCACCAACUUCCCCUUCAUCACUAUUGAAAUCAUUGCUAUAGCAACGAUAGUUUCUUAUGAAUCUGAGAUAUUUCAGACUACUUAUCAUAUGAAGUGAAGCUAAAAGAAAAUUGUUGACAUACCUCUAGCUCUCUAACCAGUUCUUUGGUUGUGGGGGUUGACACGACAAUUCCAUAUUAAAAUAAGAAGAUAGUGAAUGAAUGCAUAAUAUCAUGUGUCAUGUGGAAGCAAGUUGAUUAAGGAAACAAGCAAAUAUGAGAUUUGACUUCUUCAUUUUUAUAUUCACAUAACAGAAAUUCAAUCCCAGAGAGAUCACAAGAGGCAAUUAGUAAAGCAUUUUUCAUUAACUUUGUAAGUUCAGUUUGUAUUACAAUACUAUAUACUGUUCCAAACUACAAAGGUUUUAAUGAACAUUUAAAAAAUAGAUGCCAACAAAGAUUUUACAUAACCAAAUUCUGAACUAAGGUCAUUAGUAUCUCCCUUUGUGUGGAAACAACUUUGUCUAAUCACAUAAUGAAGCUGAGGAAUAGUUCAUACCGGUUUGUUGUGGAUUCCAAGUUGAGCCCAUGUAGACAGAGACCGCAUAGUAGCCAAAGACAAGAGUGAUUUACCUCUAUUCGCAUGAUACUUCUUGGGAUAACACUGCAAAAACGAGUCAAUGAUGCACACCAUCAGUAAAAAGACAGAGUUGGAAAUAUUUUAUAAGAGGAAAAAUGAUUAUUCAAUAAACAAAUAACAAAAGAAACCAAAGACCAAUUUGAAUUCCCCUCAAGGAUGGAUGAGUUUUAAGCAUGUCUUGAAAGUGCAUGCAAAGUAAAAUAUAAUUGAAGCCAAUGGUGUGGCAACAAUUCCAGAGCAAAAACUUUCUACUGUUAAAAGGGAUAAAAGGCAUUCAACUUUUAUCCAACAGAGCAAAGCUUAUCAAAAGGCUUCUAACCAUGGGUAAAGGUUAACACACUUUUUCCCCCUUUUUAAAAACCCCAAUGGAACAUAAAGCUACAUUAACCACAUCACAUAGUAAACUUAUAUUUUAUUUAUAUCCAAAAUGCUCCCUUACCUCCAACGUUUGGAAGCUUUAACCAAAUAGGCAAAAAUUAAUGUCUCAUGUUUCCUUUUUUUUAUCCAAUGAUGUCCUUUACAUAACACAUUUCUUAGGAAACAGGGAAACACACAUGGGUCAGUAGGCAAAACAAAAGGAUUAAACAUCAUAACCCACUUCGUUGUACCAAUCAACAGAAUGAUUAAGUUGGUUUAUAUAUAUAAUAUAUAGACAUAAAAUGAGAUUGAGAGAGAGAACAAACCCUAGAACAUGGUGUCCACCAUCAUGAGCUUCCUGAGAAACUAGACCCAUUAACCCACGCUACCACCUCCAUAGACCAAAUCAAUCCUUCUUUCAACCUACAAAAAAAUACAUUGAAAACCAAACCAGUAAGACACAUUUCACUGAAUUAAUUAUCAUCAUGGAAGAAACAAACAAGCUAAGUAUAUGGACACAAGUUACAACACAUACCUGAAACUUGGAAUUCCAAAUGCUAUCUCAUUCUCCAGGUGAAAUCCUAGUCUUAAUACAAAACCAUAAAACCCUUCAAAACCCCAACCACUUCAAAUCAAUUUGGCUCCUGACAUGUCCCUGCACAGAGUACUCAAACCAAAAAAGCAAUAAAAAAAUGCAUUCAAACAAACCUAAGAAUGGCAGAGGAAGAACGUGAGACAAAUAAGGUGAGAGGAAGAAUGCUAGAGGAAGAACGCCUAAAACCCUAAAAAAACAAUAAAAAAGAUUGCAUUCAAACAAACCUAACAAUGCCAGAGGAAGAAUGUGAGAUGAAGAUGGUGAGAGGAAGAACGUGAGACAAAGACGGUGAGAGGAAGAACGUGAGACGAGGACGACGAGAGGAAGAACGCCAUAGGAAGAACGUGAGACAAAGACGGUGAGGCGGACACGAGAGGAAGAAUGCACAGUGAGGAAUACACGAGGAAAAAUACGAAGGAAAGGGAGACGGAGAGGGAGCGGGAUUAUUGUACAGGGCGAGGACGCGGGCGCGGGCACGGGCGCGAGAGUGGUGUUAUGCGUUUAUGCGUUUUUUCAAAAGAGAGGGAAGAAGAAAAUGUGUCUCACUGAUAUAUUUUAUUUUGACUUUUUUUUAACCCAUUAUAAAGCCACAUGUAGAAAAUCGUUGCUUAAAGUAUCAACAAUUUUAUACCCGUGGUUUUUCAUAAUUUUUAAGCCACAUUUUUAAAACCGUGGCCUCUACUAUAUUUAGGCCACACUUUUAUACACGUGGUCUAUUUUAGCGUGGUCUAAACUAAAAAAUGUUGUAGUGAUAUAGAAUAGUGUUUAGGAAGGUGCUUAGAGGGAAACCUUAUACCUCUUUUGUAAAGCAUCUUUAAGCAUUAGUUUAGAAUUUUCUAGAAGUUGACUCUUCAUGUCUUCACUAUAGGCGCUAGAGUAGGUAAUAGGGAAGGGACCUUUGGUUAGCUUCUUGUGUAAGCUUUGCGUAUUCUUGGACCGGUCCUUAUAUAAGGAGGGGUUGGGUUCUUCUAAAAACAUAAUUGAUAUUUGAAGUAACAAAACUCUCCCAAAUUGGUGAUUGAGUGUAGUGAGAACUUGCCUUCUCCUCUUCCUAGUCUCAUCUUGAGUGCCUUGGUUCCUCAAGUGGUGGCAAUUCACACUUAUCUUGGAGCUUUCACACUUCAAGUGGCAUGUUCAUCAACCAAGUUCUUCAACCACAUAAGUCUUCUCUCUUUUCCAUCUAUUUCUUCCAUUUCUGUGCUCAUAUGAACUCCUAAACAUGUCUUAGGUUCCUUUCUUGCAAUUCUAUUCGGUGUUUUAGCUUCUUUUGCUAUUUUAAUCGGUUCAUCUUCCUUUUCUAUGGUUUUGUUCGGUUCAUUUCACUUUUAAGACAAUUUAAUCGGUUUAUUUGAAUUCUUGCAUCUUUUAAUCGGUUCAAUUGACAAGAAAUGGGGCUUCCAUAUGAGUUUUGGUGUUUGGCGCAAGUUUUGGUGAGUUCUUGAAACAUAGAACAUUGAUCCAUUUCUAUAAAAGUGCCUAUUCAAUCUCCAACUCAAGUGGAUUCCAUAAAAUCUCAAAGAAUCAUCUAUAUCUUGCUAUUGGAAUCAUAUCAAGUUAGAAGGAUCGUUAGAGAUGGUGGAAAAUGAGGUUGAAAGUUAUUUCAAACGGUAAGUCAUUUUAUGGAAAUUUCGAAACUCAUGGUAUUUUUCUGAGGUUCUUAAACCCAUGGUAUUUUACGGAGGUUUUUAAACCCAUGGUAUUUUACAAAGGUUUUUAAACCCAUGGUAUUUUACGGAGGUUUUUAAACUCAUGUUAUUUAACAGAGGUUAUGAAACCCAUGGUGUUUUAUGGGGGUUUUGAAACCUAUGGUAUUUUACAGAGGUUCUUAAACCCAUGAUAUUAAAUAGUGGUUCUGAUAGGCUUUUCCUUAUGUUUAAAAGAACCUUAGAGAACAUGUUCUCCGGGGAUAGAUUAGCAAGGGAAACUACAACUAUGAGUAAAUGCUGAUAAAAAAGAGAGUAAAUAACUUAAUAAAGAUUUUAACCAUGAAUAACAUAAAAAUAAAUCCGUUAAAACAUUUUUUAUUAUAGUGUGUUAAUAUCUUUAGAUAACUUCAAGACCUACAUAAUCUUGGAAAAGUUAAUGUUCAAAUCAAUCAUAUGUCUUCCACACUCGUAAUCAUCUCGACCUGACAUUAAAAAUGUACAAUGCGUGAGAUGGGAGAAAAAAAGAAAAAUAUAAGAAAAAAAAAUAAGAAACGAGUAAAAAAUUUAUUUAAUCCGAAAGAGAGGAGUAAAAAAAAAGAAAUAUUUUAUAUUCUAUUAAUAAUGUUAAUAUUUUUUAAUUACUUAUUAUUAUCAUAAAAAUUAAAAAUAUCCAUAAGAAUAUAUAUUAUCUGUGUAUAAUUUUAAAAAGAAUAGAAUUAUAAUUAUUCAAUUAUAUAUAUGUAAUUUUUAUCACUUCUUUAAAUUGUUGCUUUUAUUAUUUUUUUUCUAAUUUUUAAAAUUAUUUUUCAUAUUUUUUUUUCUUUUUUUAAUAACAAAUCCUAGUUUAGAAUGUAACAUAGCUUAUAACGGUAUGACCUACUUAGAAUGUGUAUUUUAGUAAGUUAUUUUUUCUGGAUAAAAAUAAUUCCAUUCAGAAUUAAUAUUUAAUAAUAGAUUGUUGGACUAUAAUUAUGGAUGAUAAAUUUAUUGUUUUAAUUGAGAUUAAUUUAAUUAAUUUUAUUUUGGCCUUUGUUAUUUUGGUUAAUCUUAUAUUUUAGUCACGAUAGACAGUCCGAUAUUUCUUAGAGUAGACAUUUUGAUUAUACGAUUUGAUAGAAGCGUUAAACUAAAAGUUUGAAAGAAGUAUUAGACUAAAUAGUUUGAAUGAAACAUGUGCCACUAGGAGUGGGCCAAAUCUUGCAAAAGUCCAAGUUGAUUCUUUGAAUCAAAAUGACAAAUGAAAUCUGAGUUAAAGAAUUGGAGAAUUAAAUCUCAUAUAUGUCAGAAAUUAAAUUGGAAGCAAAUUUUCUACACGUAUAUUCUCUCAAAUUUUUGAAAUUAAAAAUCCAACAAAAAACAUAAAAAAAAUAUCCUUUGAAGAUAUUGUUCAAGUAAAUAUUUUUCAAAUAUCUCUCACAAUAUCACUCAAUUUAAUUAUAAUGAAUCUGCAAAUCUGGACGGAGUUUUGAAGCAAAAUAUUUGGAAGAGAAGCGAGAACGAGAGUAGGAACUGAUUGAUAAAAAAGAUAUUUGUUUAAUAAUUUGAAACAAAUAAAUGAAACAUUUGAUAAUUAUAAAAAAUAUCAUGAGGCUGAUUAUGAAUUUGAUUUUGUGCAAAGAAAAGAGGAUUAUAAAAGAGACGUCAGAGGAAGAACAGUGAGCUUUUUUUACAUUAUAGCAGCACAACACACUCUAAACCUAGUUUUAUUUCCUUUUCAUAUAUUUUUUUGUUACAUCUUUGUCAUGGAAGGUUAAACCUUUUGGGUUGAGUUUUAAUUCUUCAUUGAGUUCUGGGGUUUUGAUCAAUAAAAGUUUUGUUUUUCAAUUCUCUGUAACAGUUUGUAUUAACCUCCUAACAUUUUUUAAAUCUGGUUUUUGUAAGGUGUUGUUCUCGAAGGCAUGUUGAGGGUUGAAUUCUUUUCUCUAAUUUUGAUUUCUUGGUUAGUUCACAUUGUUCUACUUAAUCUCUUGAGUGCUUGAUUCAAGAGAUAAAUGAGAAACAUCCCAUAAGUAGACACAUGCAUACAAGUUGGGUAUUGAUUACAUUAGUAAGCACAUGGAUACAAGUGGGGUACAUAAAAUUUGAGUAAAACAUGUUUGAUUUAGUUUAGUCAUGUUUGAUAAUUGAAGGUUAAUAAUAUUUAGAUAACUUGUGAAGACUUUAUUGGUGAAAGAACUUGGGAGUCACCUGUUUUUCGUUCAUCUUACAAUAUCUAUUCUAUUUUCUUGUUAAACAAACAUAAAUCACCCUUUACUCUUAUUGCUAAUUUUUGUUGCUUGCACAUUUGUUUUUGAAUUUUGUUCAAUGAACUUACUUUUAAAUUCACUAAGAGACGACUUAGGAUCAUCAAAUUACUUUUAUAUUAUCAUUUUUUUUUGUGAUAAACGAGUCUAACAUAUGGUCUCUAUACUAAAAAUGGAUGCUUUUUUAUCACAAAAAUAACUAUUACUAAUGUGUAUGCGAUAUUUGAGCUGAAUAGAUUAAUCUCUAUUAAUUUAGCUAUCUAAAUAUAUGUUUUGUUUGUGAAUCGUGUUUUUUAAAAGCAAAUUAAAAAUUUUCAAAGUUUUCUAACUUUUUGAUGUUUUGCUAAAGAAACAUAAAAAAAAAAGCACAAUGUAAGAGGAAUAAAUUUCUGUUUUCGAAUAUUAGAAGAAAACAGAAAAAAAAAACUAACAUAAAGACUCCAACAUAAUUUUGUUAAAAAAAAUAAAUUGUGCACGUUUCUUGUAGAGUUAAACUAUAAGUGUUUAAAGUGUUGGAUUUUAUAUACUUAAUUGUUUUACUAUAACAUAAAUUUAAUAUAAUGCAUUAUAAAUAAUAUAUUUAACUAUAUUAACUUUAUAUGAGAAAAAAAAUACAUAAAAUGAUAAAACAAAAACAUAUAUUUAUUUUAUAAAAAUAUAAAAACAAAAUAACAAUAAAAAUAGGAUACAAAUGUUUUAAAGCAAAAAAAAUUGCUACGAGCAAUGAAUUUAUGGAUUUUAUUUUGGUUUAAUUAAUAAUUCCAAAAUAUUGUGACGUAAAUACCAACCUAAGAUUACUUAAGAUCUAAAUAUCUCUCUUAAUCUUCAGACAAAACAUUGCAUACAUUUUUUAUAUAUUAAUAAAAGGUACACCAAUAUCUAAAUCCGUAUACAGUAAUAAUUACAACAAAAUUACACCUAAACACUUAAACACAUUAAAGAAUUUGUCAGCAAUUCAUACAAAAUUUUAAAAAAAUAUAUUUCAUCUUUGUGAUUAAUCAAGAUUAUGAGUUAAUAAGUUCAAUCACAGACGUGUUAUUUGACUCUCACCUUUAAAAAUAAUAUUGUUUUUAUGAGAACAUAUAAAUCAUAACGAAGCAAGUUAUACAAACUUCAAAGCCUUCUUACAUUUUUUUUCUUUUUACUUCCCAAGAGAAAAAGUGAAGAAUAUAUUGUUAUUAGACAAUAUUAAAAAAGUAUCGUUAAUCCAAAUUACGAAUAACAAGUCAGAAUGCACUAAAUUAUAUACACAUGCACAUAAAAAAGAAUUACUAGCUCAAUAUUAAAAAACAAAGAUAAACUUAAUUAAAACCAUCUUAUAUGUAAAUAACAAAAUGGGUUAAACUUGUUUAGUGCGUAAAAAUAAAUAAAUUUAAAGUUUUUAUUAUAUAAUCUAUUUAAUAUUUUAAUGUAUUUUUAUAUAUGUUUGUUUUCAUUAUUAGUUUAUUUUAUAAACUUAAUUUUUCCAAUAUUAAUAAAAAUUAAUAUUUAAACAAAAUUUAAAUUAAACUAUUAUUAUGUUUUAGGUUCUUUGAUUAAAUUUCAUCACUUAAAUUAAUUUUAUAAUGUAGAAAAAAAUAGCAAAUUUGCCUACCUGAUUGUCAAACCCACUCCUUGACAAGGGGAAUAAGAUGUAUAAAUCUACUUUUAAUUCAACUAAUUCACUAUCAUUUUCUUACAAGUCAAUGGUGGAUUGAACCCAAACAAGAUCUACCAUACAAAAUCUUACUAAUGAGACAUUCAAUCAUGCAUGCAGUAAGAAAUUACAACCAUCAUUAAUANNNNNNNNNNNNNNNNNNNNNNNNNNNNNNNNNNNNNNNNNNNNNNNNNNNNNNNNNNNNNNNNNNNNNNNNNNNNNNNNNNNNNNNNNNNNNNNNNNNNUAGUGUGCUUUUGAGAAUAAACUGAAAUACUAAAAUGUGUAUAAGUCAGAUCACUUUAAAGCAAUUAAUACUAAAAGAUCAAUAUUAUUUUCAUUUGAGCAACUUAAAAGGUGAGUGAUCUCUUGGUUGAGUUUCUCCUAAAUAAUGUGACGGUGUAACUUGAUAUGUUUUGUAUAUUAAUGAAAGUUAGGAUUAUGAGUAGUAUGAUUUGUUGAAGAUUGUCGUAGAAGAGUGAUAUAAGAGAGGUGAAAGUUAGGAUUAUGAGCAAUACGAUUUGUUGAGGAUUGUUAUAGAAGAGUGAUACUAGAGAGUGUUCACCAUCUUGCAAAUCUUACACUAGAUAAGAUAUCCAUUAUAUUUCACACAAUGUUGUUGCAAGUGCGUGAUACUUAACUUUACAUAAGGAUCUUGCUGUAGUAGUUUGCUUCUUGGAUCGCGAUGAGAUUAAAAGGAACCAAUAUAUGAACAAUACCUAGUAAUUGAUUUUUAGAAUGAAGGCAUCUGACCUAGUUGGGUUACACUAUGUUGUGAGUUUGCGAGUGUUUGAUGAUCAAUUGAAAAUGUUAGCCCAGAGUGAUAUGCAUAUAUAAUGGGUAUAGUGACAAACAUUUUCUUUACACUUCCUUUUCUCUUUCAAGAUGUUUAAACAUUAAAAACCAUUCAUGACAAACUCAAUUUCCUAUAAUAAUAACAAGUAAUUUUUUUAUCAACAAAGAAUGAAUUAAAUUAAAAAUGAGCAUUUGAGGGAUGCUCCAACCUUAUACAAAAAAGAUACACAUAAUACAUAACUUACCNNNNNNNNNNNNNNNNNNNNNNNNNNNNNNNNNNNNNNNNNNNNNNNNNNNNNNNNNNNNNNNNNNNNNNNNNNNNNNNNNNNNNNNNNNNNNNNNNNNNNNNNNNNNNNNNNNNNNNNNNNNNNNNNNNNNNNNNNNNNNNNNNNNNNNNNNNNNNNNNNNNNNNNNNNNNNNNNNNNNNNNNNNNNNNNNNNNNNNNNNNNNAUGUCUCACAUAAUCUUUCCACUUCAUGUUCUUUGCAUGUAACAAGCAAUUACAGCAACAUCUUGUAACAUGGGUAAUUCCCCUUUUGUAGCCUUUCUUGUUGGUGACAUUUUCUCACCCAUAACAUUAAGUCAACAUAACAUAACAUGAACCUCAUCCACAAGAUAUUGAAUCUACAAUAUUUUUCUCCUUGUAUAGUUAAAGUAAUCAUGCAUAAAUUUAUUUUAUCGACAACGAAUAAAUAAAUAAGAGAGAGAACACUUGAGGUGUUUCAACCCUAAUACAAAAGCACACGUUUCGGUUCAAGAAUACAGGUUGGCCCAAGAUAACCUAACCAACAUACACUAUUCUAGCUAGCCAAAAUUUAUGUAAGUUAGAAACAUCUUGAUGCACGCCUUCUCUUCAUGAUUAGGCAAAAUAACUAAGUAUGAUAUUCUCACUGUAGAGACUGUAAUAAGAACCAACAUGACAUGUUGUAGAUAAGGAAAGCUCAGNNNNNNNNNNNNNNNNNNNNNNNNNNNNNNNNNNNNNNNNNNNNNNNNNNNNNNNNNNNNNNNNNNNNNNNNNNNNNNNNNNNNNNNNNNNNNNNNNNNNNNNNNNNNNNNNNNNNNNNNNNNNNNNNNNNNNNNNNNNNNNNNNNNNNNNNNNNNNNNNNNNNNNNNNNNNNNNNNNNNNNNNNNNNNNNNNNNNNNNNNNNNNNNNNNNNNNNNNNNNNNNNNNNNNNNNNNNNNNNNNNNNNNNNNNNNNNNNNNNNNNNNNNNNNNNNNNNNNNNNNNNNNNNNNNNNNNNNNNNNNNNNNNNNNNNNNNNNNNNNNNNNNNNNNNNNNNNNNNNNNNNNNNNNNNNNNNNNNNNNNNNNNNNNNNNNNNNNNNNNNNNNNNNNNNNNNNNNNNNNNNNNNNNNNNNNNNNNNNNNNNNNNNNNNNNNUUAUCAAUGUUUAAUUUGAAAAUAGACGUUUGAGGAGGUUGUGUUGCAAUCUUAGGAGCAACCCCAAACGUGUUUCAAUCUUAGGAGCAAACCCAAACAUCUUUGUAGAUUUGAUUUUCAUUUGUGUUUCUAUGUUUGGAUGGUUCCCCUUCAAGCCAUCAUGUACCUUUACAUCUUCAACCUGCAUCAGAAGCUUGAUUCAACAAAGAAGCAAUGUGUUCAAUUCUACAUCUGGUUGGAAUAUGGACUCUCUCAUCCAUUGGUGAUCCAUGUAUGGCCAUCCCUUACAAGUCAAAGAAGAAGUUGUAGCAACCUACAAAACACAACACAAAAACCAACAAGGGACACCCAUAGUACAUGUCAAAAAUAGACCCCACACAUGAUUAUAUAACUCUUUUUUAUUCAUAACUGAAGCUUGUAAUACACAUAAUAGGAUCAAAGUAGCAGUCAAAAUAAGAACAAAUUGUUUUAGAAUAAAAGUUUCUUACCCAAGCCCAAACAAAUUUUUGUGUUGUGCAGAAAAUUUAUUGAGCAUAAGGCCAGGACAUGCCAAAUUAAAUACAAUUUCGUUUCUUUGUUUCCAUAAAAACCAUAUCAAAACCACUAAAAAAAGAAAAUUUGUUCUCUAGGAUAUAUAAAGAUUAAUUUAGCAUCACAUUAGAGUAUUUUCAUCUAGAUUUCUUAUUCGCAGAAGAAAAAUCAAAAGCCAAAAAUGACUUUUUCCAACACAAAUGUGAAAACAGGAUAUACACUAAAAUAAAAAGAGAAUAAUGUGAAACCAUUUGGAGCUCCCUUCACCCCAACGCCAAAAGAUCAAGGUAACUCAUCUCCUAGUUCAUGCAAACCCUUGACUUCGAACACAUGUUGUUACGAAACCAUAGGUAUCCGUGAACGAGCAGCAGAGGCAUACCAUCAUAUCUUUUCUUAAUUGGAGUGAAGGAAACUCCAAAUUGCGUUUGNNNNNNNNNNNNNNNNNNNNNNNNNNNNNNNNNNNNNNNNNNNNNNNNNNNNNNNNNNNNNNNNNNNNNNNNNNNNNNNNNNNNNNNNNNNNNNNNNNNNCAAGACAUUGCUUUGAUGCAUAAGAAAGAGAGAAGGAUUGUAAUGUAGUAUCCAUGGAUGAGAACCUCACCUUUAUAUAGGCUAGGAAAUGGUUGAUGAGCUGGAAAAUUAAAAUUGAUGGACUGAAUAUGAAAGAAAAUCUCAAUGGCAUGGGUGCCACGUGUAUGGUAUUAAUUAAAAUCAUAGAUAAUUAAAAAUCUUUUAAUGCUAUUAUUAAGUUUACAAAAAUGGAUUAAUAUUGGUAUUAAUGUACAUGUAAUAAUCAGUGUGGGGCACCACACUAUUCAAUUAUUAUUCUCAAGAAAAGUAUUACUUUAAUAACUACAUAGUCAAAUAUAUUAAUAUAUUUUAUAAACCUUAUCUUUUAGGCAUCAUUAUUCAACUUCACAUCUCAACUAUGCAAUCAAAUAUACUAAUUUAUAAUCUUUCAAAAUUUCUUUAUCUCUAAACUCAUAUUUCAGUAAAAAAAAAUCUUUCAACUUCUUCAGCAAUUAUAUAAUUUAGAGUAUUUCAUGUACUCAAUAUCAUAACUUCAUUCUAAAGGCCCUUUACUUUUGAUUGAUUGAUUUUUUUAGACUUUACCACAUUAUAUUUUCUACCUUCUUCAACUCUUACGUUGAAUUUACUGUUGUUCUUACAAAGUUUCUUAAUGAAUAAAAAUUUAACCCUGACAUCAACACAACUUGCUAUUGUAGAUUAGUUAUUUCAUUGAUAAUAUUUCGACUUCAAAUCAAAUGUGUUAUUUGAAUUAUUACAUUAAAAAUAUUUCUGUUUCUGUCACAUUAUAUUUAGUCACUUGAUUAGGUUACUCGUUUGAACUUCUAAAACAAAGGUUAUUUUUAAUUAAUUUAAACAUAAUUGGCAACCAUAUACAAAUCUUAUUACUACACUAAAGACAUUUAUGGAAUUUUCAAAAAUAUUAAAUACUCAUUCAUUAAUUAAAAAAAUAUUAAAGGCACAUCUCUUUUAUAAUAAAAAAACUGUCAUGAAAUAAAUAAAAUGAUUUUAUAACUUCUUUAAAGGAAUUAGCAUCCAUAAUCUAAAUAUUAAAUGUUUCAUUUAUAUUUUUAUGUGAAUAAGAUAAUGUUUUCAAUACUAAGCUUUGAUAAUUUAAUUCAAUAAAGAGACGUGUCACUCUAAGAAUUUUUUUUUUAAUAAAGGUUAUUUAGCGGAAGUUUAUAUAAUUACUCUAAGAAAUAAUUUAAUUAACGAACGUUUUUUAAACUUCGUUUAAGUUUAAAAAAUUAUUAAAAAUUUCAGCAAAAUAACAUAGGUUUUUUAACUUUCGUUAAAUUUCAAAAGUUUAUUUUAAAAUCUCAGCAAAAUAAUGAAGGUUUUUUUAACCUUCAUUAAAUUCCAAAAGUUUAUUCUAAAACAUCUGCAAAAUAACGAAGAUGUUUUUUUAACAUUCGUUAAAUUCCAAAGAUUGUUUCGUAGAACUUCAAUAACUCCAAAAUUUUCAAACUUCAAUAAAUAAAUAUAAUUAAAUCUAUUUAUAAAUAAAUAAUUAAAAACUAUAUAGUUUUAAUAUAUUUUAUAACUAAAUUCUCUACAAUUUUGAAAGUGUAANNNNNNNNNNNNNNNNNNNNNNNNNNNNNNNNNNNNNNNNNNNNNNNNNNNNNNNNNNNNNNNNNNNNNNNNNNNNNNNNNNNNNNNNNNNNNNNNNNNNGUUUUCUAAAAUUUAUUUUGAAAACUCAGAAAAAUAACUUUGGAUAAUAAGUAUAUCAACAACUAAUAUUGGAUAAUAAAAUUUUAUACAGUAUUUGCAUAUUUUUUUUAUGAUUGAUGGUAGUUGAUUUAUAUGAUUCCUAGUUUUUUAUUUUUUGUUAUGAGUUCGUACUUCAAAAAACUUGACUUAUUUUGUUUUAGCUUUUAAUGUACAUAUAUUUUAUGUGCAAUUUUUGUUUUAGUUAUAAUUGUUAAUAUUCAAUUCUCAUAAUUUUGAAAUAUUUUAAAUUAAUGUCUUUAUUUUAAAAUGUAUCUAAUAAUUCACUGUGAAAGUGAAAAGUGAUAAAGUUAAUUUCUCCUCGCAAAUGUUCUUGCAAUCUUUAGCCAAGAACACACAUGACUUUGAAGCCCACAUCUAAUAGAUAAUGCAAUUAUUUAGGAUAUAUAAAGCAGUGAUAAACACUAGUUGUUGUCGAGUUAGGUAACAGUGGUUUGGGACCCAAGUUGGGGCAGUAAGGUGAUGAAAGAAGCAAUAUUGGAGUAAGAAGUAAUGCCUUAUUUAGUGUUUCUUCUCCUUAGAUAUAAUAGACAGAAGUAUGGCUGAAUUUUGAUUCCUUGUUAGAACUGUCGUCGACAACCAUUGAACCUGUGCAAGAGAGUAGUGUGUCUACGGUGCAAGAGAGAAGUUAGGAGGAUCGUUAGAGAUGGUGGCAAAUGAGGUUGAAGGUUAUUUCAAACGGUAAGUCAUUUUAUGGAAAUUUCGAAACUCAUGGUAUUUUACUGAGGUUCUUAAACCCAUGGUAUUUUACGGAGGUUUUUAAACCCAUGGUAUUUUACGGAGGUUUUUAAACUCAUGGUAUUUAACAGGGGUUUUGAAACUCAUGGUAUUUUAUGGGGGUUUUGAAACCUAUGGUAUUUUACGGAGGUUCUUAAACCCAUGAUAUUUAAUAGUGGUUCUGGUAGGCUUUUUCUUAUGUUUAAAAAAACCCUAGAGAACAUGUUCACCAGAGAUAGUUUAGCAAGGGAAACUACAACUAUAAGUAAAUAACUUAAUAAAGAUAUUAACCAUGAAUAAUAUAAAAAUAAACCCAUUAAAACAUUUUUUAUUAUAGUGUGUUAAUAUCUUUAGAUAACUUCAAGACCUACAUAAUCUUGGAAAAGUUAAUGUUCAAAUCAAUCAUAUGUAGUCCACACUUGUAAUCAUCUUGACCUGACAUUAAAAAUGUAUCAUGCGUGAGAUGAGAGAAAUAAAGAAAAAUAUAAGAAAAAAAAUAAGAAAUGAGUAAAAAAUCUAUUUAAUACGAAAGAGAGGAGUAAAAAGAAAAAAGAAAUAUUUUAUAUUCUAUUAAUAAUGUUAAUAUUUUUUUAAUUACUUAUUAUUAUCAUAAAAAUUAAAAAUACCCACAAGAACAUAUAUUAUCUUGUGUGUAUAAUUUUAAAAAGAAUAGAAUUAUAAUUAUUCAAUUAUAUAUAUAUAUAUAAUUUUUAUCACUUCUUUAACUUGUUGCUUUUAUUUUUUUUUCUAAUGUUUUAAAAUUAUUUUUCAUAUUUUUUUCUUUUUUUAAUAACAAAUCCUAGUUUAGAAUAUAACAUAGCUUAUAAUGGCAUGACCCACUUAGAAUGUGUUUUUUAGUAAGUUAUUUUUUUUAGGAUAAAAAUAAUUCCAUUCACAAUUAAUAUUUAAUAAUAGAUGGUUGGACUAUAAUUAUGGAUAAAUUUAUUGUUUUAAUUGAGAUUCAUUUAAUUAAGUUUAUUUUGGCCUUUGUUAUUUUUGUUAAUCUUAUAUUUUAGUCACGAUAGACGGUCCAAUAUUUCCUAGAGCAGACAUUCUGAUUAUACGAUUUGAUAGAAGCGUUAAACUAAAAGUUUGAAAGAAGUAUUAGACUAAAUAGUUUGAAUGAAGGCUGAUUCUUCCUACACCCAAUCAAAUUGGACCUGCACCCAAUUGCAUUUGUGAAAGUACCGAAUUACCCUUAAUGAAAAUGAAAUUAGGGUUUAGUGAUUUCUACACCCAAUCACACACCCAAGUUUGUUUCUGCCAUUCUCGCACCCAACACCAUCUCUCGCACGGGCGUUCGCAUCCUCGCACCUUGGUUGACAUUUCUCCGGUAGCGUAGUGUUGAGUGGAAGGAUCCCUUGAACAAAGACGAAGCCAGGAACGCGAAGGUCGUCCAUUGUUGCGCAAAGGUUUGAGGGCAUCAUCUGCAUCAGCGCACCCUACAGGCUUUUUCAAAAUAAACAUGACAAGGGUACAAUUGGGUUUUAAAAUGUUCGUUGGGUGCCAAUCACAAUUGAUUGGGUGCAGGAAAAAAUUGCCUUGAAUGAAACAUGUGCCACUAGGAGUGGGCCAAAUCUUGCAAAAGUCCAAGUUGAUUCUUUGAAUCAAAACAACAAAUGAAAUCUGGGUUAAAGAAUUGGAGAAUUAAAUCUCAUAUAUGUCAGAAAUAGAAUUGGAAGCAAAUUUUCUACACAUAUAUUUUCUCAAAAAUUUUAAAUUAAAAAUCCCUUGUUAAAAGAACNNNNNNNNNNNNNNNNNNNNNNNNNNNNNNNNNNNNNNNNNNNNNNNNNNNNNNNNNNNNNNNNNNNNNNNNNNNNNNNNNNNNNNNNNNNNNNNNNNNNNNNNNNNNNNNNNNNNNNNNNNNNNNNNNNNNNNNNNNNNNNNNNNNNNNNNNNNNNNNNNNNNNNNNNNNNNNNNNNNNNNNNNNNNNNNNNNNNNNNNNNNNNNNNNNNNNNNNNNNNNNNNNNNNNNNNNNNNNNNNNNNNNNNNNNNNNNNNNNNNNNNNNNNNNNNNNNNNNNNNNAGAGACGUCACAGGAAGAACGAUGAGCUUUUUUUGCAUUAUAGCAGCACAACACACUCUAAACCUAGUUUUAUUUCCUUUUCCUAUAUUUUUUUGUUACAUCGUCGUCAUGGAAGGUUAAACCUUUUGGGUUGAGUUUUAAUUCUUCAUUGAGUUCUGAGGUUUUGAUCAAUAAAAAUUUUGUUUUUUAAUUCUCUGUAGUAGUUUGUUUUAACCUUCUAACAUUUUUUAAAUCUGGUUUUUGUAAGAGGUUGUUCUCAAACGCAUGUUGAGGGUUGAAUUCUUUUCUCUAAUUUUGAUUUCUUGGUUAGUACACAUUGUUUUAAUUAAUCUCUUGAGAGCAUGAUUCAAGAGGUAAACGAGAAACAUCCCAUAAGUAGACACAUGCAUACAAGUUGGGUAUUGAUUACAUCAGUAAACACAUGGAUACAAGUGGGGUACAUAAAACUUGAGUAAAACAUGUUUGAUUUAGUUUAGUCAUGUGUGAUAAUUGAAGGUUAAUAAUAUUUAAAUAACUUGUGAAGAAUUUAUUGGUGAAAGAACUUGGGAGUCCCCUGUUUUUCGUUCAUCUUACAACAUCUAUUCUAUUUUCUUGUUAAACAAACAUAAGUCACCCUUUACUCUUAUUGCUAAUUUUUGUUGCUUGCACAUUUGUUUUGAAUUUUGUUCAAUGAACUCACUUUUAGAUUCACUAAGAGACGACUUAGGAUCAUCAAAUCACUUUUAUAUUAUCAUUUUUUUUUUGUGAUAGACGAGUCUUAACACAUGGUCUCUAUACUUAAAAAUGGAUGCUCGUUUAAUUUGAACACAAAAUAACUAUUACUAAUAUGUAUGCUAUAAUCUCUAUUAAUUUAGCUAUGUAAAUAUAUGUUUUGUUUGUGAAUCGUGUUUUUUAAAAGCAAAUUAGAAAUUUUUAAAGUUUUCUAACUUUUUGAUAUUUUGCUAAAGAAACGUAAAAAAGCAGAAUAAUAAAGGUAAGAGGAAUAAAUUUCUGUUUUCGAAUAUUAGAAGAAAACUGAAAAAAAAAAAACUAACAUAAAGACUCCAACAUAAUUUUGUUAAAAAAAAUAAAUUGUGCACGUUUCUUGUAGAGUUAAACUAUAAGUGUUUAAAGUGUUGGAUUUUAUAUACUUAAUUUUUUUACUAUAACAUAAAUUUAAUAUAAUGCAUUAUAAAUAAUAUAUUUAACUAUAUUAACUUUAUAUGAGAAAAAAAAUACAUAAAAUGAUAAAACAAAAACAUAUAUUUAUUUUAUAAAAAUAUAAAAACAAAAUAACAAUAAAAAUAGGAUACAAAUGUUUUAAAGCAAAAAAAAUUGCUACGAGCAAUGAAUUUAUGGAUUUUAUUUUGGUUUAAUUAAUAAUUCCAAAAUAUUGUGACGUAAAUACCAACCUAAGAUUACUUAAGAUCUAAAUAUCUCUCUUAAUCUUCAGACAAAACAUUGCAUACAUUUUUUAUAUAUUAAUAAAAGGUACACCAAUAUCUAAAUCCGUAUACAGUAAUAAUUACAACAAAAUUACACCUAAACACUUAAACACAUUAAAGAAUUUGUCAGCAAUUCAUACAAAAUUUUAAAAAAAUAUAUUUCAUCUUUGUGAUUAAUCAAGAUUAUGAGUUAAUAAGUUCAAUCACAGACGUGUUAUUUGACUCUCACCUUUAAAAAUAAUAUUGUUUUUAUGAGAACAUAUAAAUCAUAACGAAGCAAGUNNNNNNNNNNNNNNNNNNNNNNNNNNNNNNNNNNNNNNNNNNNNNNNNNNNNNNNNNNNNNNNNNNNNNNNNNNNNNNNNNNNNNNNNNNNNNNNNNNNNUUCCCAAGAGAAAAAGUGAAGAAUAUAUUGUUAUUAGACAAUAUUAAAAAAGUAUCGUUAAUCCAAAUUACGAAUAACAAGUCAGAAUGCACUAAAUUAUAUACACAUGCACAUAAAAAAGAAUUACUAGCUCAAUAUUAAAAAACAAAGAUAAACUUAAUUAAAACCAUCUUAUAUGUAAAUAACAAAAUGGGUUAAACUUGUUUAGUGCGUAAAAAUAAAUAAAUUUAAAGUUUUUAUUAUAUAAUCUAUUUAAUAUUUUAAUGUAUUUUUAUAUAUGUUUGUUUUCAUUAUUAGUUUAUUUUAUAAACUUAAUUUUUCCAAUAUUAAUAAAAAUUAAUAUUUAAACAAAAUUUAAAUUAAACUAUUAUUAUGUUUUAGGUUCUUUGAUUAAAUUUCAUCACUUAAAUUAAUUUUAUAAUGUAGAAAAAAAUAGCAAAUUUGCCUACCUGAUUGUCAAACCCACUCCUUGACAAGGGGAAUAAGAUGUAUAAAUCUACUUUUAAUUCAACUAAUUCACUAUCAUUUUCUUACAAGUCAAUGGUGGAUUGAACCCAAACAAGAUCUACCAUACAAAAUCUUACUAAUGAGACAUUCAAUCAUGCAUGCAGUAAGAAAUUACAACCAUCAUUAAUAUCUAUUCAUCAUGUCACAGUAAGGGGGAAAUUUUAUGGGAUGUGCUAGUGUGCUUUUGAGAAUAAACUGAAAUACUAAAAUGUGUAUAAGUCAGAUCACUUUAAAGCAAUUAAUACUAAAAGAUCAAUAUUAUUUUCAUUUGAGCAACUUAAAAGGUGAGUGAUCUCUUGGUUGAGUUUCUCCUAAAUAAUGUGACGGUGUAACUUGAUAUGUUUUGUAUAUUAAUGAAAGUUAGGAUUAUGAGUAGUAUGAUUUGUUGAAGAUUGUCGUAGAAGAGUGAUAUAAGAGAGGUGAAAGUUAGGAUUAUGAGCAAUACGAUUUGUUGAGGAUUGUUAUAGAAGAGUGAUACUAGAGAGUGUUCACCAUCUUGCAAAUCUUACACUAGAUAAGAUAUCCAUUAUAUUUCACACAAUGUUGUUGCAAGUGCGUGAUACUUAACUUUACAUAAGGAUCUUGCUGUAGUAGUUUGCUUCUUGGAUCGCGAUGAGAUUAAAAGGAACCAAUAUAUGAACAAUACCUAGUAAUUGAUUUUUAGAAUGAAGGCAUCUGACCUAGUUGGGUUACACUAUGUUGUGAGUUUGCGAGUGUUUGAUGAUCAAUUGAAAAUGUUAGCCCAGAGUGAUAUGCAUAUAUAAUGGGUAUAGUGACAAACAUUUUCUUUACACUUCCUUUUCUCUUUCAAGAUGUUUAAACAUUAAAAACCAUUCAUGACAAACUCAAUUUCCUAUAAUAAUAACAAGUAAUUUUUUUAUCAACAAAGAAUGAAUUAAAUUAAAAAUGAGCAUUUGAGGGAUGCUCCAACCUUAUACAAAAAAGAUACACAUAAUACAUAACUUACCCCUCGUGCACACAUAAUAAAAUCACCUAAUAAACUAAUUUUUAACAGAAAAAAUACUCCAACAAAGAUCUAAAAUAUCACCCAAUAGUACCCACUACAAAAAGCUUCAAACAUGAAAUUGAAGAUAACAUGUGACCUUGCCAACCAAACAUUACAUUAAUUUUCUUUUCUCCUUUACCCUUCAUCGUUUUUUAUUGUCUAACCUAUGUCUCACAUAAUCUUUCCACUUCAUGUUCUUUGCAUGUAACNNNNNNNNNNNNNNNNNNNNNNNNNNNNNNNNNNNNNNNNNNNNNNNNNNNNNNNNNNNNNNNNNNNNNNNNNNNNNNNNNNNNNNNNNNNNNNNNNNNNNNNNNNNNNNNNNNNNNNNNNNNNNNNNNNNNNNNNNNNNNNNNNNNNNNNNNNNNNNNNNNNNNNNNNNNNNNNNNNNNNNNNNNNNNNNNNNNNNNNNNNNNNNNNNNNNNNNNNNNNNNNNNNNNNNNNNNNNNNNNNNNNNNNNNNNNNNNNNNNNNNNNNNNNNNNNNNNNNNNNNNNNNNNNNNNNNNNNNNNNNNNNNNNNNNNNNNNNNNNNNNNNNNNNNNNNNNNNNNNNNNNNNNNNNNNNNNNCUCUUCAUGAUUAGGCAAAAUAACUAAGUAUGAUAUUCUCACUGUAGAGACUGUAAUAAGAACCAACAUGACAUGUUGUAGAUAAGGAAAGCUCAGAAAAAAUAAUUAAUAAAAAGAAGACAUAGGGGUGCAUGCUUAAUGACGGUUUGACUUAUUAUUUAAUACUUUUGGUCAAUUAAAAAAUUCAUAGUAUAAUAUUAUUUUAAAAUUAUAUUUGUUUUUUUAUCAACAAAAAAAUAAAAGAAUUAAUUGGAACAUUUAAAGGAUGUUUCAACACUAUUAAAAAAUAAUUGUGCUUAGAAACAUUAGUAGAGUCUGAUAAAGUAUAACACACCCUACUGACAGAACAUAUAGUAAAGAAAACAACCACACUUAGUACAAUAGUUAUACCCCCAAAGAGAACCAUAUGAAAUCACCCUAUGAAAACAAAAUUCUUUAACCCCACAAACUCUCCCUACACUAAACAAUGUUAACCUAAAUAAACCAAUACAAGAUGGACAUUGAGCAAAAACAAAUAUAGGCUAUACAAUUAUCAAUGUUUAAUUUGAAAAUAGAAGUUUGAGGAGGUUGUGUUGCAAUCUUAGGAGCAACCCCAAACGUGUUUCAAUCUAAGGAGCAAACCCAAACAUCUUUGUAGAUUUGAUUUUCAUUUGUGUUUCUAUGUUUGGAUGGUUCCCCUUCAAGCCAUCAUGUACCUUUACAUCUUCAACCUGCAUCAGAAGCUUGAUUCAACAAAGAAGCAAUGUGUUCAAUUCUACAUCUGGUUAGAAUAUGGACUCUCUCAUCCAUUGGUGAUCCAUGUAUGGCCAUCCCUUACAAGUCAAAGAAGAAGCUGUAGCAACCUACAAAACACAACACAAAAACCAACAAGGGACACCCAUAGUACAUGUCAAAAAUAGACCCCACACAUGAUUAUAUAACUCUUUUUUAUUCAUAACUGAAGCUUGUAAUACACAUAAUAGGAUCAAAGUAGCAGUCAAAAUAAGAACAAAUUGUUUUAGAAUAAAAGUUUCUUACCCAAGCCCAAACAAAUUUUUGUGUUGUGCAGAAAAUUUAUUGAGCAUAAGGCCAGGACAUGCCA